CUAGCACAUCUCCUUCUAGUGGAACAGACAGACACACAGCCCGCUAGAUAGUUUUACUAAAGCAGAAGGGCGGGCUAAAAAGAAGAGGGCCACACUGCAUUUAAUAAAGUCGUUCCGCUUCCUUUAGCAUGGUUCAUGGUUCAAGUGAUAAAAUGAACUGCGGAGUCCUCACUUUCAACGAAGUAAAGAGCAGUAAAAGGAAACCCAAACAGGCGUAAAGACAAUCACUGUGCUAAAAAUGCAACGUGUAAAGACCUUCUUCCGUGCUGUGCUGAUGAGUUGAUUGUUCUACAAGGUCGAACAACAAUUGCUCUGGCUUGGGCGAAUAGGUAGGUUGGCACGAAAGCCGAGUUUCCUGAGCACGAAUGGCUGCCUGUCACGGUAUUUUCCGUCUCAGUAAUCUCGUCAGCAAGUAGCAAGCCUUGUGCCAGUCAACAGACCCAGCGCAUCUUCUGUUAUGCCCUCCCCAGUGAAACGGGUUGUCCUCAUCCGAUUCAUGCGAGGGGGCACCAACUCCGAAAUUUCGUUCACUUGAAUAUAAUCUAAUAGUGAAUAUCACUGAAUAAUCACUGAAUAUCGCCUGAAUACUGAAGAUGAUGCUGUCCACGUUUGAGCAUGAGUCGUUAUUAUACAUUCUCGUUGGUUUGAUUACAAUUCGUAAUGGAGGAUGUGCUUUCAAUCCAAAGACGAUACCGAGCUAUAUUGGCCGCUGGCGUCAAGUUUCAUCUUGUCCUGCGAGUAUGAACCACGCAGCCAUACUGCUUAACCACUCAGUGCUCCUGGACAGAAGAGGGGACGAGCUUCUCACCGCAACGUUUCGCUGCACACGAGAUGCACAGAGUUUUACCAGCAUGACGGGGAUCUUGCGUCGGUGCAGAGAUACAACAGACCAGUGCGAGCAUUUUUCAAGACUUGAAUGGAAGCAUAAUAUUUGCCCAUUGUUGCCUAUUAAAAACGCUGUUUGGUCAUCGAUUAUUGAACAAUGGGAGCCCAAGAUGACAUGCCCUUUCAAAAAGGCAAUAUACACGGGAGGAAACAUGUCGUUUGACUACGAUUUCAUUAUGGCCGCUCUUGGCGUUCCAAAUGGAGCUGGUAUUUGGGGCUUAAAAGGUUUUUUGCGUGACGAAAACAGCAUUGUGCACGUGUGCUUUGAUGUUUUUGUAGAAUUGAUUAAAAUAAGACGAAAACACUACCCCUCUAGCUUUUAGACGGUCCAAUCGACUGUUUCUACAAGAAGACUAAGUGCUAUCCGAACCUCCUUGCUCUUUACCAUCUUCAGGGCAUAUUGCUUGAACUAAAAGCAAAGCUACUCUGGAGAAAUAAUCAGGAUCAGGAAAAAGACGGAUAUCACAGACACUUUGGUGCUCACCGUUUCAAUGUUGGCAUGAAGACCGCAGUGGCAGUAAUAAAACUUAAUUAUUAUGGUACAUUAAUGUGUGGUCAUA